rnacentral:rRNA from 1 species
AGGAACACGUACGCAACCUUCCUUUAACUGGAGAAUAGCCCCUCGAAAGAGGGAUUAAUACUCCGUAACAUGAUGAUAAGGCAUCUUAUUAUUAUUAUAGCUUCGGCGGUUAGAGAUGGGCGUGCGACUGAUUAGAUAGUUGGCGGGGUAACGGCCCACCAAGUCUGCGAUCAGUAACUGGUGUGAGAGCACGACCAGUCACACGGGCACUGAGACACGGACCCG